rnacentral:misc_RNA from 1 species
UCUCUCGAUUAUAUCGUUAUGUGUAACUAAAAGUGCAAUAUUGCUAAUUGUUGAAAACUACUUAUACGAUAAAGUUGUAACAAGUUUUUCAAAAUAAAGAAACCUUAAUUGAUUAAAUUGAAUAAAAGUGUCGCACAUGUUAUCUGUCAGUUUUAAAAGAAUCUUUGUUGAAAAUUUACCUUGCGCAGAUUUGAAUUAAAUCAUUUUUAUCGUGCGAUAUGAAAACAACUUGUCGAUAUGCAAUUACGUAAGUUGCGCGCGCAUUGUUAAAGCAUUGUUGAGGUUAAGUCGGGCUCAUGACGUACGCACAGUGUUCGCGUCUUUGACAUUAAUUAUUGUUACGUUAACAGAGUUACUGCUCGCUAUCGCGAGCGACGGCGGUCGGAAAGAGGAGAAAAUAGAAGAUUUCACGCGCGUGACCGAUGAGCUCGCUUUUGUGAAACUGCGAGAGCCAACAGAGACAUUAUCGAACGCGGCUGCGAAAUUACGAAUUUUGGACUCGCGCGACGAUCGUCGAUAUAGCGAUUGGAACUUUAUUCGCGAUAAGUGAUAAGUGCGAGUCGAUAUGUCUGUACGCCGGAAAAGCGAUCCAGCCAUGGUUCAGCGUGUUUGGGACACGAUUAAAGUCACGGUGCAUCAGAGAAGCUUGCCCAACAACGAUCGUAUAGUACGGCAUUUGGCACGAGUUUAUGGCUUCACGGAGCAGGAAGCACAGGAGGAGCUGAACAAGGCAGUCGAGGACGGUUUCGUCCUAUUGAAGAAAGUGCCCGCGAAGAACGGCAUCGAGCAAGAGAGUUACAGAUUCCCGCCGGCGGACCCGCCGGAGGGCGACGGUCACGACUGGUACUGCUGCAAGUGCCAGCGAGCGGGCGCGGUCGAAUGCUGCGAACAGUGCUACAGAGUCUAUCAUUCGGAAUGCCAUGUGCCCUGCAAUGCGAAAUUGAAGAUCUGCUACUUUUGCGAGAAAAUCAACAGCGACACGUAUCCCGACAAAACGGAGCUCAAUCACAUUCUCAGCUUUACGUGCGGUCAUCUGAAGGCGAAGUUACCGCCGGAAAUCACAAAUCGCACCAUUGUUUUCAACAACGGUCCGAUUGUUACGCCUCCAAACGGCUUCUCCGGACCGACCUGGGUGAGCGAAGGCGAGGACGCGUGGCGGCCAGGGAUUCUCAUAAAACGUCACAUGGAUCUGGCAAUCAUGGACACGAAGACGAGCAAUAAUGAGUACAACAAUCUCGCCGAAUUCGAGGCCGACGCGCACAAUAUUCUACAUAAUAUUCUGGUUUAUCACGGAGAUCGCAAUGUGAUAGGAGACAUGGGCCGCACGAUGUAUCAGGACUGCUGUUACGAUCUUCAGGAAAUUCGCCGUUGCGCGGACUGCUAUCGCAUAUCGAACGAGAAAUCGGAGAAAAUGUGGUUCUGCAUACCGUGCAAUCCGCCUCACCAACUGGUCUACGCGAAGCAAAAGGGGUACCCGUAUUGGCCCGCGAAAGUUAUGCAGGUUAACGGCAACGUGUACGACGUGCGCUUCUUCGGAGGUCAUCACAUGAGGGCCAAUAUCGAGAAAGUCUUCAUUCGGCCGAUCUCUGCCACGUUACAAAGUUUGCAGAUAAAAAAAUCAACGGCUUGGAACAGAGCUUUCGAGGAGCUGAAGCAUCAUCAGCACUUGUUGCAAAAGUUGGGAAAGAACAAGGAGGAUUUGAACACCAUAGAUAAUCCUUCACCCGCGAAGAUAAGAAAAUUAGAAUCGUCGAAUUCGAGGAGUCCAAAUUUGCCGAAACAACUAGCAAUUAAGGAUUUGAGGGUGAAAGUCGAACGCUUGAGUUCCGACGGCAGCAUCGAGACGCAGACUGCAAACGAUACGGAUAACAAAAAAGAUGUCGCGAAAAGUAACGCCGAGAACGAGGAGAGACAAGUGCCUCAUUUACCGGUGGCAGAGGAUGAACCCGCCAGAGAGAUAACCAGCACUUGCCCGCAAGGUAUAAAGAAGGAAGGCUCGCAGGAGGAUAUGGUCACGUCCAGUUGCCAGGAACCGAGAUCGAAGUGCGUUCUCGUACAGACUGAACAAAUCCAAACGGAUGGACUACCCGCCAAGAUCAAAAGAGAACGCAGAACUUCGGAACAACCGACGACAACAGCGCUAGAAAAACUGCGCCGUGAUUUGGAACUUGAAAAGUGCAGAGAGAUGGAAAGAUUACAAGCGGAGCAUGCCAAAGAACUGCGGGAACUGACCGACAGGCAUCAACAAGUUGUAUCUGAUAUUAAAAAGAAACAAUGGUGUUACAAUUGCGAGGCUGAAGCGAUAUAUCAUUGUUGUUGGAAUACCGCGUAUUGCAGCACAGACUGCCAACAAGUUCAUUGGCAACGUGAACACAAAAGGGUGUGUAGACGUAAGCGUUAAUUCACGUGAUGAGUGCGAGUAUAAUGAGAUUGUUAUAAGAAAGCGUUCAAGAUGAGGAAAUCAACUUUUUGAAAUGGAACUUACAAGAAGCUAGGAUGGAAAAACUGUUAUGUGUGUGCGCAGGUAAAUCUCAAGACUGUUUUUACUUAGCGGCAUAAUAAAACUUUUUAAAUGUCGUACAAUCAAUCAUAGUUUUGUACAAUGCUAUUGCUGCGGUAAAUUCAAGGAAGAAACAAAGUGAUGGUUGUAAGAUAAUAUGAGUGAGUGAUUCACAGAAGGUAUGCAUAGAUUUGUUAAAUUUUUUGACUUAUUUUUUAGAUAUAGUAAAUUUUUGUUCUCUAUACUACAUUAAUAAUAGGUUUUAACAACACACGUGAUUCUAUGUGCAUAAUUAAUGUAUUUUAUAUGCAUAUUAUGAUAGUGACAAAUCUUGUACAUUGUCAUUAUGAAUUAUUUAUAUCAAAUUUAUCUUGGCAUAUUAUUCCUUUAAGAUCAUUUUAAUUGAUAGAAAUACAAUUUUCUUAGGACAAAACGGCAAAACAUGAAAAUAUCAAUACAUUUAUUUUAUGAUUCA